rnacentral:rRNA from 1 species
GAUGAACGCUGGCGGCGUGCCUAAUACAUGCAAGUCGAGCGAAUGGAUUAAGAGCUUGCUCUUAUGAAGUUAGCGGCGGACGGGUGAGUAACACGUGGGUAACCUGCCCAUAAGACUGGGAUAACUCCGGGAAACCGGGGCUAAUACCGGAUAACAUUUUGAACCGCAGGGUUCGAAAUUGAAAGGCGGCUGCGGCUGUCACUUAUGGAUGGACCCGCGUCGCAUUAGCUAGUUGGUGAGGUAACGGCUCACCAAGGCAACGAUGCGUAGCCGACCUGAGAGGGUGAUCGGCCACACUGGGACUGAGACACGGCCCAGACUCCUACGGGAGGCAGCAGUAGGGAAUCUUCCGCAAUGGACGAAAGUCUGACGGAGCAACGCCGCGUGAGUGAUGAAGGCUUUCGGGUCGUAAAACUCUGUUGUUAGGGAAGAACAAGUGCUAGUUGAAUAAGCUGGCACCUUGACGGUACCUAACCAGAAAGCCACGGCUAACUACGUGCCAGCAGCCGCGGUAA